GCCCGCGCCUGCCGCCGCCGCCGGGCGCCUGCUCGCGGUGCCUUGCGGGGGUCGCCCUGCCUGACAGCCCGGGGAGGACGGCUGGCGGAUGCUUCCGCGCUGGAUUUCAUUUUAUAGAGUUUACAUUCAAGAGGAAAUACUCCAGGCAAAGAAGAAGAAGCAGAUCAAGAUGUGUAGCUCUGUGGCUGCCAAAUUGUGGUUUUUGACAGAUCGUCGAAUCAGGGAAGACUAUCCCCAGAAAGAGAUCCUGCGAGCUUUGAAGGCCAAGUGUUGUGAGGAGGAACUGGACUUCAGGGCUGUGCUGAUGGAUGAGGUGGUGCUGACGGUUGAGCAAGGAAACCUGGGUCUGCGGAUCAAUGGAGAACUCAUCUCUGCCUACCCCCAGGUGGUGGUAGUGAGAGUUCCCACCCCGUGGGUGCAGAGCGAUAGUGACAUAACUGUUUUGCGUCAUCUGGAGAAGAUGGGCUGCCGAUUGAUGAACCGACCUCAAGCCAUCCUGAAUUGUGUUAAUAAAUUUUGGACAUUUCAAGAGUUAGCUGGCCAUGGUGUUCCUCUGCCAGAUACUUUCUCUUAUGGUGGCCAUGAAAAUUUUGCUAAAAUGAUUGACGAAGCAGAAGUCCUGGAGUUCCCAAUGGUGGUAAAGAAUACACGGGGUCAUCGGGGCAAAGCUGUUUUCUUGGCACGAGACAAGCACCAUUUGGCUGAUUUAAGCCACCUUAUUCGCCAUGAAGCGCCGUACCUGUUUCAGAAGUAUGUGAAGGAGUCUCACGGACGGGACGUGCGUGUCAUUGUCGUGGGAGGCCGUGUAGUUGGCACCAUGUUACGUUGUUCCACAGAUGGGAGGAUGCAAAGCAACUGCUCACUAGGCGGUGUGGGGAUGAUGUGCUCACUGAGUGAACAAGGGAAGCAGCUAGCUAUCCAGGUGUCCAAUAUCCUGGGAAUGGAUGUAUGUGGCAUUGACCUGUUGAUGAAAGAUGACGGCUCCUUCUGUGUCUGCGAGGCCAAUGCAAAUCCUUUUCAGGAGCCAAAAAAAACCAAAUACAAACAAACAAAAAUAUACCCAGAGAAAAAACUUUCCUUCUUCCCCCUUCCUGAUGAUGAGUGAGGAGUAUUGAGCACUUUCGGGGUCAGUGCCCUUCUAAACUCCCCUUCCCCCAUAAUGCAGCUGUGUAAUGAGUGCUAAAUGCAGCGGUUUGGAUUCAGUCACAGCCCCAGCCUGCUGGCAGGUAAUUUGACUCUUUCUCCUUUCUUUGCACCACAAGGCUAACUUAACUUUCUUUUAUAAAAAAUUGCCUUUCUUCCUGCACUUGAAAGGCAAUUAUGGGUUUAAGUAAUACAUAAAUAUGUUCACCAAAUAAUUUGCUUCUGGGAAUAAAGUUUGAAUUGAUUGGGGUGAACCCAGGACCUUCUUUGGUAAUUUUGUUUAGCCAUUAGGUAACUCCAUUUCUUGCAUAUAUGUCUAUAAUGAAGUAUUUCAGAGUGUGACACUUGUUUGGCUUUGUUUUCGUUUUGGGUUUGUUUGUUUCUUCCAUUGUGCUACUCUGGCUUAAGCUUUUUCAGGGGUUGGUGUUCCGAAUACAAAGUGAGCUCACAGUAUAAAGACAUCAAUUAGGAGUUGACAGGUAUGGAAAACUAGAGUUUUGAAAGGUAAAAUUAGGAUCUAGGUUAUAUGUAUGAUAAAAACUCAACACAGCAUUCCGGUGGAGCUUAGUGCUUCUCUUUUUGCAACACCAUUAUGAAAGUGAAAGAGAAUGAUGAAACGUAGAUUAAUAGAAGGGAUUUUCAUUGUGAGGAGAAACCUGCCGACCGAACUAAUCUUUGUAGCAUCUCGGAGAUACUGUCAAAGAAAUAAACAUGAGCAAAUUGAGGUUAUCAUAAAAAAAUCAUGGCUUAAGCACUCAGAAAUUACAGGUUCGAAGCAGAUAGGAAAGUAUUUCUCAAGCACAACAUGGGUAAGCAGAUUAAUCAAGAUCAUGCCAACAAAGUUAAUGGCAGGAAUAGCAAUACAGCUUGUUCAUUUUGAUACCCUUUCUGUUAGUAAACUGGAAGGUGGUCUGUCCCAGCCCCCCCAGCCCUUUCUUCAACCAUGAGGUCUUCAACCAUGACAGCUAAAACUCCUAUGUUUUAUCAUUUUGGGAGUUAAUCCUCUUUCUAGUUGGUAAGAUUUCAGGGAAAGUAGCCAGGCCUUUUUCAAACAUAUGCUCCUGCAUAGUUUUAUCCUAUGACUUUAAAUAUCCUAUCCAAAGUAGCUCUCAAAAUCUCCUGUGUCACUAGUGAAUAGGAAGUCCUGGCCAUAGGUGCUCUUUUUACAGUGUCAUUAGCCGGUUUUGUGCUUCAGUUGACUCUUAUAAGAUAGGGAUAGUCCCCUAAACACCUUCAGAGAAAAAUAAGAUCUGUUGAACUACAGUUGACUAAUAAAAAGAAUCCCAGCUGUACUCCUGCAGAGUUGAUGAUGUAUACUCAGGCUCAUUCAGGAGACCUCUGUUCUCUUACUGAUCAGAAUGACCACCAUUAGAAUGUACAGAGUAUGUGAUUGCAUAGGGCAUGGAGAGUUUUAACAAGCUCCAUUCUGCUGCCCACAUUGAAUGCCCUGGUUUGUAAAGAAUUAUCUCACUUGUACAGUUUACCAUUUAUUAGGUGGACCUUAUUUAUAUAGUAUAUAUACACCUGGCUGCUACUGUGGGGUUGGGAAACAUGAGGGGUGGGGUGAACUGUUGUUGUUUUAGGUUUCAGUCAGACAGACAUCCCUGUGCCCAGUUCCCAGAAGCACAGCAGGCCUGUAGGAGCAUCCGUGGGAACGGCGCAGCCCUGACAUCACCACCUUCGCCUGCUCAGGCGCAUCCCAUAUACGGAGGUCAAAAGGGUGGGGUUUGAGAUCGGGGAAGGAACGAGAAAGCAGAAACUGCUGCAGUACACUGUUGACUAGCUUCGGGCACUUAUCUCAGUGUUCGUUUUGUAUUUUGAUUCCUUUAAGGUUGGCAAAAUUAUAAUGCAUAUAUUAAUUUGGGGGUAAAGAUAGUUGGGAGGGUGGAGCAAAUACAGCCGUUACUGUUAUUAUUAGCUCAUUACUACAUACUGUUACUUACUAGGUAAUGUACAAUAAACUUGAAGUGUGAAUUCCAGUGACAAAAAAGAAUGGGAAUAUAAAUCUUAGAUUUUAACAAGCAGAGAACAUUUAUGGUAUACUAAUGCCCAGUUCUCCUACAGCUACUAUGAUAUUUGUCAUUCUGUCCUACUUUUUUCCCCUGGUUUUUCUAUAUAUGCAGUUGGAGGAAAUGUGUAUUCAUGGCUAGCCCUUUUUAAAGGACUUAAUGAAUUUAUUAUUACUCACUUGCAAAAAAAAAUACUUAGUGCUUAUGUGGGCAUACAAAUGCUACCCUAUUUUAAAUAUAGGUGGCGUAUGUGUUCGUGUUUUAAUGUAUUCAGAGCCAUUGGGCAAUAAGCAGUCCAGAACAUUGAAAACUCAAGCAGCAGAGAAAUAAACUGGUAGGUGGCAGCAGAGGAAGGAAUUCUUCAGAUGGAUGGCUACUGACAAUCUACAAUGGAGUCCGACAUGCCAAGUAAAGCCAGGGGGACAAAGAAGUGGAAGCAAGACUGAAAAUUACUGGAUUUUGACUUUAAAUGGUUCUUUCAAAGUAACUGAUGGUCCUUGCUUACAUCAUUAACAGAAUGGAUGAAGAUAGAUUUGACUCUGUUUUCUCAAGUGGAGAAUAGAAAUACACAGAACAAGAAAGCAAUCGCUCUAACCUGUUUGAUUCAUUGUUUUCUAAAAUAAAAACACCACAAGCUGGAAAUGAAGUAGCGUGGAGCAUGACUUGUUCUUUGGCAGCUGUUUGUACCUACUCUAUCCUAUAUGAAUUCCCUGUAGUUUGAAUAUCUAGAAUUGGUGUCUAGCUCUGUGUGUCUUUUUCCUUGGAAGAUGGAACUCUUGAUUCCUUUGGUUCUUGCUCUCUGACUGAUCUCUCUGUAGUAUCUUCUGAAAUGAGUGCUCCUUCAGUAUAUAAGCAGGCACUAAAAUAUGUAUUAGAUGAAUUUCUCCCCGUCCCUUCACACUUUGUCUAUCCGUGCUGAAUAACUGUUGUAUUUUUUAGUCUGUGAAGAAUACUUCUGACAAGGAAUGUACUUUUUCUAUUUUUUGCACUGCAUUCUGUAGUCAGAUAUUCAUACUUCAGUUUGUCACUUAAUGGUUAUAUGGUUUUUAAAAAGUUACCCUCUUCAAUACAGAGUAUUUGUUGAAAAUGAAAUAACUGUACCUAGUUUAUUAGCCUAAUGUGUAAGCAUUAGUUCUACUAUAUGUAUAGUGCUUAGCAUAUAGUUGACUAUUUAAUAAAUAUUGUCCAUUCUGUAAA